AUAUAAUAUAUAAGUCCAAUUUGAAACAAAGAAACCUUAAUCGAUUACCAUUCAAUGACUUUGUAAAUAUAUCAACGAGUUGAUCUCCUAUCUUCACAAAUGGUGUACAUAUAUCACUACUCACUAUUUUGUCACGAUCAAAGUGACAAUCAACUUCAUUGUGCUUGUACAUUGCUACUACAGUUAGUCCUUAACUUCUGCAAGUAACUAGAUUACUAUCGAGAGAAGUACAGAAACCAACAGUGGAUCUUCUAUCUGAUGGAGAUCCUGCCCAAUUUUCAUUAAUAAGCCCUUCUACUUUGAUAUUUCCAUUUUUUCUAUACAAUUAGUCAAGAGAGCUUUUUUCAAAUAUCGAAUAAUACAUAUCACAGCUUCCCAAUGAGAAACUUGAGGAGCAUCCAAGAACCGACACAACUAUUGCUUAGGAAAUGUUUGGUUGCCUAAUGGUGAGAUAAUUCAAUUUUCCAACUGAACGACGAUACUUUCCUAGUUCUCCAAAUGGUUUCUUCUUCAUCUUUCAAAAGCUUUACGUUAGGAUCCAUGGGAGUAUCAAUUGGACGAGUUCCAAAACAAGUUUAGUGACCAACCAGGUAAUUAACCCUAGAAACCAUAGGUGCAUGUUUUGCCGUUGGUACAGGUUUUUCUGAUGCAGCCUACUUCACUAUCCAGUACUGAUCUUUGCUGAAAAUAACUGAGAAGAGCCGAAAUAAAAAAUAAAAUAAAAUAAAAAUAAAGGAAAAAAAGAGGGAAGAGGAAAAGAAAUGAAAUGAGCAGGAAAGAAGAGCUGGAAGAAACUACAAGGCCCUAGAAACCUUCUCUGAUGCCAUGUCGAGACAAUGGUAGGUAAACAUUGGAGAGAAGAAGAUAAUAGUCUUCCUCUCCUCUACUUUCAUUAUAUAGAAAAGGUAAGAGUACAAGUAUUGAAAUUUUGUAAAAUUAAACAAAUAUAAUGAACCACAAUUAUACUCUUGCCUAAUGUUACGUGAUUCCUGAUUUAUUCUUUCCUUAAACGAAAUAAUCAUUUUGGUAUGCAAUAGAUAUAUGAUCUAUUGCUUCUUGCACCUGAACUGGUUUAGAAAAAUAUGCCAUGACAACGUUAUAUAAAGGAUUUAUGUGAAGCCAAUAUACUGGGUAACAUGUCAGGUGCAAAGUCUGGUGAGAAAAGUGAGACUAAUACUUCCUGCUUAUUGUAUUAGUUGAUUGUGUUUCAAAAAGAAAUGGUAGCUAUGAAAAAGGCUUGGAAGAUGGUUUUUUUUGUGAGGGUUCUGAAGUUAAAAACUCGUAAACAUCAAUACUAAUAGAUCUUAAUAAUGCUUCAGCACAUCUCAUAGACACCAACUCCAGUCUUCAUCAUUAUCACUCUUUCACCAGGCUUCUCACCAUCUCCAAUAUACAACUCAGCCUUCACCCUGCACAUCCUUUUUCAAAGCCAACAACAUAUUCAUGAAUUAUAAAUAUAUAUCUAUGAUUGAUAAAUUUGCUUUCUUAUCUUAGAAGUCUUAUAUCUCACACAAGAUUCCUACACCGAAAAAAGAUGUAAAGAGGCUAGAAUGCUAAAAUUUUCUUUUAAAUUUUGUUGUACAAUUUUUAGCAUUUGUUAGAACAUUCUAGUAGAAUCAUUAGCAUGCUUAUUCAAUGAAAUUUUAACAAUUUUCUUUUAUUGUUGUGCAUAAAACCUGAAGUGAUAAGGUACUAGUUUCUCGGUACAAUUAAAUUUGAGGAUAAAAGCAGGCCUGAUUAGUGAUUAGCACUGCUUCUCAUUCGUCGCCUCCUUAUUGCCUCUAGAGGUUGACUUAUAAAAUCCACCACCAAAAUGAGUUCAAUUUUAUUCUCGUGGAGACCCUUCGUUUUUUUCCUUUUUUUUUCCCUUUACCUUCUGGAUUCUGAAUUAGGUUUCUGCCUUCUAAUAAGUCCAUGGAAAAGUAAUGUCCCUUGUUUCUUAACUUUGUUUUCUGGAAACAUUUUUUCUAACAUUCUAGUUGCUUUUAGCUUGUAUACCCCCAGCUUCAGUUUGAUUUGUGCUGCAUGAGGUGAUGUACUUCUGUGCAUUUCUUUUGCUGCAGUAUCUACAUGUCAUUAUCCUGUUCUGCCCUUUAACGACAGUAGUCUGAUCUUUGUUUUUUUCAAUUAUAUUUAUGUUUUUCUGAUAUAUUGUAAUCAGAUUAUGGUAGAUCAUAUUAUGAUGUCCUUCAAGGUGUGGAGCAUAUACUAGAAAAUUUUAGUCGGGACCAGAUUUCAGCACCAUCUAACUUCAAAUAUUUGCUUGCACUUGAAAAGCAGUUGACUUCAACCAUGUUGCACGUGCUUGGCCUGGCUUCAAGAACUGAUCAUCAAGCUGUACAAGAUUUUCUUGUCAAAAAAGCAUCAUUUCUCGUGGAUUGGCUUAAAGGGUUAUGCUCAUCUCUUGAAGAGACAGGUUCUUCAGCUGUAGAGACUACAUCUGUUGCAUCUGUAAACCUUAAAAAGGAUGUUGUAUCGAGAACGGUUCGCUCACUGAUUGAGCUGUAUGAAAUCAGCAAUCACAAUUCGGUUGCACAAAGGUUUGGCAGAUUGGCCAAUGGCUUGCUGUGAAUUUCCUGCUUUAUCCCUUUCGUGAUUCCUAUCUGUUGCAUAAAUAAGUCAACGGUAGAGCAAGAGGUUUCUACAUUUCUGGGUUUAACGGGUUUUAUGGAUUUCUUCAAGUCAUUUGCUAGUGGCUACACUUGUGGUGUCUGAUGGAUCAAUGGGGGCAUCAAAUGGUCUCUACAUGACGAGGAACUGUAUGUUGGAAUUUGGUUUUACGUUUGAUUAAUUUUGUCAAUAGUCAGAUUAUCAAUGGUAUGGAAAAUUCUAAAUAUCUCUGUUUUAUUUUUUAA